UACAGGAGGUCCCAAGCGUUGUUCGGAUUCAUUGGGCGGUAAAGGGUGCGUAGGCGGCGCGGUAAGUCGGGUGUGAAUCUCGGGGCUUAACUCCGAAACUGCAUUCGAUACUGCCGUGCUUGAGGACUGGAGAGGAGACUGGGAAAUUUACGGUGUAGCGGUGAAAUGCGUAGAUAUCGUAAGGAAGACCAGUGGCGAAGGCGGGUCUCUGGACGAGUUCUCGACGGUGGAGGCACGGAAAGCCAGGGGAGCAAACGGG
rnacentral:rRNA from 1 species